GACGAACGCUGGCGGCGUGCUUAACACAUGCAAGUCGAACGAUGAUGCCUCUUCGGGGGCGGAUUAGUGGCGAACGGGUGAGUAACACGUGAGUAACCUGCCCUCCUCUCUGGGAUAACUGUGGGAAACUGCAGCUAAUACUGGAUAUUCUCUCUUCCUCGCAUGGGGUUGGGUGGAAAGUUUUUUCGGUGGGGGAUGGACUCGCGGCCUAUCAGCUUGUUGGUGAGGUAGUGGCUUACCAAGGCUUUGACGGGUAGCCGGCCUGAGAGGGCGACCGGCCACACUGGGACUGAGAUACGGCCCAGACUCCUACGGGAGGCAGCAGUGGGGAAUAUUGCACAAUGGGCGGAAGCCUGAUGCAGCAACGCCGCGUGCGGGAUGACGGCCUUCGGGUUGUAAACCGCUUUCAGUCGGGACGAAUGUGACGGUACCGACAGAAGAAGCACCGGCUAACUACGUG
rnacentral:rRNA from 1 species